CAUGCGCAUCUGUGGCAUCAAACAUGGCUGAUCUAAUAAGAUAACCGAAAGCGGUGUGAUGAAUUUGCUUUGUUUUUAGUGCUGGAUGGUUAAAUAGAUACGUUUGCGACCUGAAAGUGGCCCUUCAUGAUAAGAAGCAGAUCCGUGAUGGACUGAUAAUGGUCGAUCUUUCAAUGGGGGAGAGGUAGCUUAAUCAUCGUUAUUGAACUAUCUUAAUGGUUUGUAUUGUCCACCGUUCGAUAUAUCAUGUGUGAGCCGUAAUGGAAUAUUUAUCUUCCUUUUGGUUUUCCGCUUUAUGGUUACGCCUCAAACAAACAUCAAUACACCCUAAAUUGUUUCACAACUAGCCGAAAAAUUGUAAAUUAUUUUUGAAUAAAUUUUCAACAAGUA